rnacentral:rRNA from 1 species
UGGGGAAUUUUGGACAAUGGGGGAAACCCUGAUCCAGCCAUCCCGCGUGUGCGAUGAAGGCCUUCGGGUUGUAAAGCACUUUUGGCAGGAAAGAAACGUCGCGGGUUAAUACCCCGCGAAACUGACGGUACCUGCAGAAUAAGCACCGGCUAACUACGUGCCAGCAGCCGCGGUAAUACGUAGGGUGCAAGCGUUAAUCGGAAUUACUGGGCGUAAAGCGUGCGCAGGCGGUUCGGAAAGAAAGAUGUGAAAUCCCAGAGCUUAACUUUGGAACUGCAUUUUUAACUACCGGGCUAGAGUGUGUCAGAGGGAGGUGGAAUUCCGCGUGUAGCAGUGAAAUGCGUAGAUAUGCGGAGGAACACCGAUGGCGAAGGCAGCCUCCUGGGAUAACACUGACGCUCAUGCACGAAAAGCGUGGGGAGCAAACAGGAUUAGAUACCCUGGUAGUCCACGCCCUAAACGAUGUCAAACUAGCUGUUGGGGGCCUUCGGGCCUUGGUAGCGCAGCUAACGCGUGAAGUUGACCGCCUGGGGAGUACGGUCGCAAGAUUAAAAACUCAAAAGG